GUGGCAAAAUGAGCCCAAUCGUUGAAAAGAAAAAUAAUAAAAUCCAAUUAUACUCCAUCAUGGUAAAUAAAUAAUUAAUUAAUGUGGAAGCCACACAUUUCAAAAAGUUGAAAAAAAAUAUAACUACUUCAAAUCCCUUCCAACACAAAUCCCUAACAUUUUUAAUCCUUGCAAUCUUCCCUUCGUCCACCCACCUCUCACUGGCGCUCCCGCAAUCAUCGCUACCCAUCUUUAUUUCUUCCCCCUACUUUCUGCCCGUGUCUCGCUCUUUAUGCUCUACUCCUUCAACAAUCAAAGCGAGGGUGGUGAUGGUGGUGGAAGGAUCUGUUUUGGAGCAAAGUAGUUUUGAUGCCUUCAUAGUCGCAAGUUAGACGCUCAGCCAGCUCCUUUCAUAUUCCCUCACUCGAUUCUCCAUUGCUCGCCAGAAAUCUGAUGACACUUACAACUCUUUGUCCAUCACUGUUAAGCACUAUGGGAGACAGAUGCCCAUUACAGGUUCUUUAGGAACAAUCAACACAGAUCUGAUUCCUCGAUUGUGAUAUAGAGGUUCCAAAGAUGAUGCGAUGCAUAGAAAAAAGUGUGGGCCCCACUUCUUUAGCGGGCAAUUGGCAAUAGCUUGAAAAGGCAAUAAAUCGAAAAGAGGAUUAAUUUGAAAUUCCUCCAAUUUCUGCAAAUUUGAAAUGAAAGGGGAUUUUCUUAAGGCGCCUCAAAUGCCCAUUUUGGAUUGCAACUUUGGCGUCGACACCCAUCGUCGGCAGCGGCGCUUCAAUGACCUUGAGACAUAGAGAGAAUGAGAAGGUAUUUUCAUGUGGUUCUAGAAUCAAAGAUGAGUUUGGAAGAGAUGUGGAGGUCAAAACGUGAAGAAUACAGGGCCAGAAGCAGUACAUGGGCCGUGUAACCUGCCCCGUGUAACUUCCUGGUCCCCGUGUAACGCUCUGGACUGAAGAAAACAUGAAAAAUGAAGUGGCAAAAAUUUACACGGGGCGUGUAUCACUACACGGCCAGUGUAAAGUCGCCUGACAGCAAUUCUGAUGCGACUUUUCUUCGCUCCAACUCGACCCGAAUGGACUCCUAUUGCUUCUAGAACUCUGAAAUUAUGGUUUUUACACUAGAUAUAAAUAGAACAAGUCAGGAAUUGAAGGAGGGGAGAGAAUUUACAUCCAAAGAGGAGAAUUAACAUUCAAGAGUCGAUUUACAUUUAAGGAGGCACAUCAACCUCAAGGGAGGUAAGGGAGAAACAAGAUCUGCAAGAUUGCUAGAAGGAAUUUUCAGCUGAAGUUCCAAAAGUCUAAGGCUGCAACUCUUUUUCUGAGUUCUUUCACUCUAUUUCCUUCUCAUGUCUUCUCUUUAUCUUUUUAUAAACUUGAUUGUAAAGUUCACCAUGGGUAAGUAGGUUCUUUAUUCUAGGGUUAGGGUGUAGCACUCAAUUUCAUUAUAGAUCUGGUUUGAUUUUUAUUUAAUACACUGGGUAUUUUAUUCUUUGAUUCAA